rnacentral:rRNA from 1 species
CCUACGGGAGGCAGCAGUGAGGAAUAUUGGUCAAUGGACGAGAGUCUGAACCAGCCAAGUAGCGUGAAGGAUGACUGCCCUAUGGGUUGUAAACUUCUUUUAUAAAGGAAUAAAACGAGGCACGUGUGCCUGUUUGCAUGUACUUUAUGAAUAAGGAUCGGCUAACUCCGUGCCAGCAGCCGCGGUAAUACGGAGGAUCCGAGCGUUAUCCGGAUUUAUUGGGUUUAAAGGGAGCGUAGAUGGGCUGAUAAGUCAGUUGUGAAAGUUUGAGGCUCAACCGUAAAAUUGCAAUUGAUACUGGCAGUCUUGAGUACAGUUGAGGUAGGCGGAAUUCGUGGUGUAGCGGUGAAAUGCUUAGAUAUCACGAAGAACCCCGAUUGCGAAGGCAGCUUACUAAGCUGUGACUGACAUUGAUGCUCGAAAGUGUGGGUAUCAAACAGGAUUAGAUACCCUAGUAGUC